UUGUUGCGGUUAAAACGCUCGUAGUUGGGUUUCUGUCGGACGCAUCAGGUCUGCCCAAGUGGCGAGUACUUGUUCUGUGUCUGGCAUCUUCUUGGGGAACGGGUGCGCACUUCAUUGUGUGGCUCGGAAACCUUGACGUUUACUUUGAGGAAAUGAGAGUGCUUCAAGCGGGUGUCCGCCACGAAUACGUUAGCAUGGAAUAAUAGCAUUGGACCUCGGAUCAUAGCUGUUGGUUGCUGGAACCGGGGUGAGGGUAAACAGGGACAGUUGGGGGCAUUCGUAUUUAACUGUCAGAGGUGAAAUUCUUGGAUUUGUUAAAGACGGACUACUGCGUAAGCAUUUGCCAAGGAUGUUUUCAUUGAUCAAGAACGAAAGUCAGGGGAUCGAGGACGAUCAGAUACCGUCCUAGUCUUAACCAUAAACUAUGCCGACUAGAGAUUGGAGGCUGUUGCUU
rnacentral:rRNA from 1 species